GGGAAUUUAUUUUUAUUUUUGGAAAAUUCUUUCAAUUAUUAUUAAAAUAUAUCUAAAAGAACAAGAGAAAGUAUAAUUCAUACCAUUAAGUCAAAAUAAUUACAUGCAAAAGGAAAAUUAGUGGAACGUUGGGAAAAUGCUGUACGCCAGCUUUGGAACCUCUGAAACGUUACCAAUUUUAACAUUUUCUGAUACUAGAACAAGCAACAUAUUGAAACUUCUACUGAUUCCAUAUCUAUUACAAAUAAAAAUAAACAAAAAAUCCUGGAA